AAUAACUCGCCCGCCAGUCACAAUCGCCACCUUCCAGUCACCGUCGCCGCCGUCUCUACCCAGUACCGCCGUUGCCGUCCACAGCCAACCAUUUGAUAAUCAAUAUCAACUUUCAAAGGCGGAUUACUUGCUUCGAGGGGCAUUCCCUCAUGUCCUGAUGAUGCUCGUAACCCCCAUACUCAAUCUAGUGGUGCGAAUAAUGAUGGGACUCACGUGUCAAACACACAGAGGAAGGUUUGAAUGUUAAUGUUGUGUUGGAUUUGUGGAUUGUGUAAGUGUUUUGUGAAUGUUUGCGAGGGGUGAAGUAGUCUAAUGUUAUAGACUAACUUAGUGUAGAUCUACUAGUUUAAUGUUUUGUGGAUGUUUGCAAAGGUUGAAGUAGUUUAAUGUUGUGUAGAUGUUUGCGAAUGUUGAAGUAGCUUAAUGUCUCUUCGGAAUGUUUGAAUGACGUUUUGAUUCAACUUUGAAGUAGUUUCGAAUUGAAUUUGACGUAUUGUUGGUUGUGAUAUAUGUGUUUGUUGAAGUA